UCGGACGGUCGAAUUUAUUUCGGUGAAUUCUUAGUGGCGAACGGGUGAGUAACGCGUAGGCAACCUGCCCUUUGGAUGGGGACAACAUUCCGAAAGGAGUGCUAAUACCGAAUGUGAUCCAUUUCUCGCAUGAGAGAUGGAUGAAAGAUGGCCUCUAUUUAUAAGCUAUCGCCAAAGGAUGGGCCUGCGUCUGAUUGUUAGUUGGUGGGGUAACGGGUCACCAAUACGAUGAUCAGUAUCCGGGCUGAGAGGAUGAAGGGCGACAUUGGGACUGAGACACGGCCCAAACUCCUACGGGAGGCAGCAGUGGGGAAUCUUCCGCAAUGGACGAAAGUCUGACGGAGCAACGCCGCGUGAGUGAUGAAGGUUUUCGGACUGUAAAACUCUGUUGUCAGGGACGAAGGUGCGAUCUGCGAAUAGUUGAUCGUAUUGACGGUACCUGACGAGGAAGCCACGGCUAACUACGUGCCAGCAGCCGCGGUAAUACGUAGGUGGCAAGCGUUGUCCGGAAUUAUUGGGCGUAAAGAGCAUGUAGGUGGGCUUUUAAGUCCGAUGUGAAAAUGCGGGGCUCAACCCCGUAUGGCAUUGGAUACUGGAAGUCUUGAGUG
rnacentral:rRNA from 1 species